rnacentral:lncRNA from 1 species
CACCAAAGAAGAAUCCAACAAUGAGUGGUGUGAGCAUGACAAGGCAACCAGGAGGAAUCAUUUCCUUGAUGGAAGCAUCGGUGGAGAUCUUGACACAGGUGGCAUAGUCGGGUUUUGCGGUACCUUCCAUGAGUCCAGGGAUGGUGUUGAACUGCCUGCGAACUUCUUCAACCAUCUUAAGAGCUGCACUUCCCACACUCUUCAUUGUCAUGGCAGAGAACCAGUAAGGAAGCAUGGCACCAACAAGCAGUCCAAUGAUAACCUUAGGGGUCAAAACAUCUACGGUAUGGAUUCCUGCACGGCUCACAAAGGCACCAAACAGAGCCAAGGAGACAAGGGCAGCAGAACCGAUAGCAAAUCCCUGUGCACAACAACAUAGAAAUACAACAUGUCAUAUUACAUAACAAGCAAAGGCAACUUGGGGAAUGAUUAAGGCAAGCAGGCUCUAUAAAUGAUUUAUCAGAUUGCAGAAAGAGGAUUAGAAGGCCACGUACCUUUCCAAUAGCAGCAGUGGUGUUUCCAGCGGCAUCAAGAGCAUCGGUUCUUUCACGGAUGCGGUGGCUCAUUCCAGCCAUUUCAGCAAUACCACCAGCAUUGUCACUGAUGGGACCGUAAGCAUCAAUUGCCAAACCAGUGGCAAUGGUACUGAGCAUACCAAGAGCAG